rnacentral:rRNA from 1 species
GACGAACGCUGGCGGCGUGCUUAACACAUGCAAGUCGAACGGAAAGGCCCUGCUUUUGUGGGGUGCUCGAGUGGCGAACGGGUGAGUAACACGUGAGUAACCUGCCCUUGACUUUGGGAUAACUUCAUGAAACUGGGGCUAAUACCGGAUAGGAGCUCCUGCUGCAUGGUGGGGGUUGGAAAGUUUCGGCGGUUGGGGAUGGACUCGCGGCUUAUCAGCUUGUUGGUGGGGUAGUGGCUUACCAAGGCUUUGACGGGUAGCCGGCCUGAGCGGGUGACAGGCCACAUUGGGACUGAGCUACGGCCCAGACUCCUCCGGGAGGCAGCAGUGGGGAAUAUUGCACAAUGGGCGGAAGCCUGAUGCAGCAACGCCGCGUGCGGGAUGACGGCCUUCGGGUUGUAAUCCGCUUUCGCCUGUGCCGAAGCGUGAGUGACGGUAAUGGGUAAAGAAGCACCGGCUAACUCCGUG